CUUCGGCUUCUUCUCCGCCGGGGUCUUCUCGGCUAUCGUCUUCUUCUCCUCAGCGGGCUUCUUCUCAGCUGGCUUCUUCUCAGCUUUUGGUGCCAUUGUUCUUCAGCGUUGGAUUGAAAUUC